CUCUUUGCCCACCUGAUUGGCAGGGGGCAGUGGCUCGAAGAGAUGGGUUGCUAAGCAGCCUGGCCUGGACGUGGUGCCCUGCCAGGUUGAAUGAAUAGCUGCAGUGUUCUGAGGAAUGGGGAAUUUGGCCUGUCCCAGCAUCAGGAGGGACUUUCUGGAAAGGGGGCUAAGACUGAGUCUAGGUUCAGUGUGGGGAACUGGGUGGCCUUCCUGGCACCUUCCUUUUGGAGCCGUGGCGUGGUGUGCCAUGUCUGUGUAAGUGGAGCCUGCGGAGCUCUGCACCUGUCCUCGAAAAGGUCUUGUUGCAGGGUCUUCCUGUCUCAUCUCCUCCCUCACUCAUCAGCAGGAAAAGACAUGGCGUCCAGCAACUUUCUGUGAACUCUGCCUCUGCUGUUUUGAUGAUGAGCACGUGUGGCCCUUGAGAUUGUUGAUCUAACUGGCUUUGAGGGGCUGGGUGUCAGCAACCCAGAAAUGGGGGAAACAGGAUAAUACAGAAGCAGAAAAGCGAGACCCCCAGGAACUCGUGGCCUCCUUUUCUGAAAGAGUUCGGAACAUGUCGCCUGAUGAAAUCAAGAUCCCGCCAGAACCCCCUGGCAGAUGUUCAAAUCACUUGCAAGACAAGAUCCAGAAGCUUUAUGAACGAAAGAUAAAGGAGGGAAUGGAUAUGAACUACAUUAUCCAAAGGAAGAAAGAAUUUCGGAACCCUAGCAUCUACGAGAAGCUGAUCCAGUUCUGUGCCAUUGACGAGCUUGGCACCAACUACCCAAAGGAUAUGUUUGAUCCCCAUGGCUGGUCUGAGGACUCCUACUAUGAGGCAUUAGCCAAGGCCCAGAA
rnacentral:lncRNA from 1 species